rnacentral:rRNA from 1 species
UACGUAGGUGGCAAGCGUUGUCCGGAAUUAUUGGGCGUAAAGCGCGCGCAGGCGGCCUCUUAAGUCUGAUGUGAAAGCCCCCGGCUCAACCGGGGAGGGCCAUUGGAAACUGGGAGGCUUGAGUAUAGGAGAGAAGAGUGGAAUUCCACGUGUAGCGGUGAAAUGCGUAGAGAUGUGGAGGAACACCAGUGGCGAAGGCGACUCUUUGGCCUAUAACUGACGCUGAGGCGCGAAAGCGUGGGGAGCAAACAGGAUUAGAAACCCCCGUAGUCC